AGAACCAGAGCUCCCCACGGGCGACCCCUCCAGGAGUGGACCUCGGCUGCCUGUCCCGCUCCGUCCACAGUGUGGGAGAAGAAUCUAGGGACGGUGUGGUUAAUCAUAGCAGCCUCUGUCUCCACCAUGCAGACCGCUGAGCACCGCCCAAACCCUUCCGGCGUCCUCCAGCGUGGUGCCUGAUCCUUAGCGCUGCGCAGGCCCGGAACCCGGAACUGAGCGACAGUCUCAUGUCCCAGGAAAUGGCUGGUCAAGAAGGAGGACCCAGAAGAAAAGUCAGUGUUAAGCAGAAGAGAUGGCAGGAAGAUGCAGAGAUGUUUCCAGGUAGCUGACCCUGCCUGGGUGAAGGGGCAAGGGUUGCCUGAACAGACCCUAAGGCCCAGGAAGACAGAGAGUGUCUUGGUCUUGUUCACCUCUGUGCCCUGAACUUCCAAGAGCAGUUGCAUUUGAUGACUUUGCUCAGCCUCCACCCACAGCAGUCACUUAAAUAAAAGCUCCUUGCUCGAAGUGUGGUCCAUGAGCUGGAACCCCAUCCCAGACCUAUGGCUCAGAACCUGCAUCUCAACAAGUUUUCUGUCCCAUGAGUAUUACCUUUUGAGAAGACCUGUUUUAAAGGACAGCCUAGGUUGACUAUAAAAUCAAUUAGCACUGAGGCUUCCUUGCCCACCUAGAAAAUGUAUCUUUCAUCUUUGAAUCCCCUGCUCAGGUGUUCUUUGUACGAGAAACUUCCCGGACAUCUCUCCUGUUGCCAUCACUCCGUCUGUCAGUCUGCGCUAUGCUCGCCCUUCUGUUGAGACAUUUAUCACACAGCGACUCAGUUUGGUUUCCCUGCCUGUGUUGCCUACCAGAUGGGUUAGCCAGACUGAAGUCCUUGAGACGAGAGAAGGAAUCUUAUUUUUCUUUGCAUCCCAGGCUCAGUUCACACUGAACUAAUGAAUGAUUUGCCUGGUGUGUGCUGGCCUGUGGGCUCUCCCUUAAUCCCAAACUUCACCAAGAGAAGUUUUCCCGCCUUCCUUCCUUCUUUCCUUCCAAUGGAAAUGCAGAAACUCAAGAAAUAUUCCUUUUGGUGGCCCAGCCUACCAAAAUUACUUUUGUACUAUCAUAAUUAGGUAGAACAUAUCUUCAAAAUGAAUAAGCAAAUUCCCAAAGCGAUUCCUCAAAAGACGGCAGUAAAGAAUGCCAUGGCAUUUUCAGGGGCUUCAUGAUUUCGUAGCCUCUUCCAGGUAGCGAGGAGACUGGCCACUUAAUCCUUCCAGUAGUAACGUGUCCUCAUCCAUGUGAACCUCUGAGGAAGUGAUGACAAAAUCUAGGGAUUCAAAUAGAACAGGAUGUGUGUGACAUCAGGCUUGGUGUUUAUGCCGCAGUCCUUACACAGAUCGGCAUCAUGCACUGGGCCUAUGAGCUCCUUGAAGACACCAGCUCUGCCUUGGACAUCUGAGUGUGCCUUGGCACUUGACGUAGCAUCCAGCUCAGAAGAGACUCACAGAGACGCUCAUUCCAUUGAACACAGGUGUCACAGGGUUCCAAGUCCAACUCUCUGUGUGCCCCAAGCAAAGCACACAACCUACGCUAGAUCGUUGUCUCUGUUACAAAGCCAUGCAGUUAAAACAGCUACAUCAUCUCUGAAAUCACAUAGACCUCAGAAACUAGAAGAACUACAGCCAUCUUCUUUGAUUUGCUCACUUCUGUCUGAAGUGCCAGUGAAAUUGCCGAUAAUUCAUGUGAAUUAGUAAGAUGUUAUCAUUUUGUUAACUAAAGUAUAAAAUGAUCACUAAA